rnacentral:tmRNA from 1 species
GGGGAUGACAGGCUUCGACGGGGAAGGCUGGUCACAGAUGGCAAGCCGGGGCGCUCUAACCCCGUGAACAAUGGAGCAAAACUGUAAAGUGCCAAGAACACUUUCAACUAUAUGUUUGCCCCUCAGGCGCUGGCCCAGGCGCCUUUGGCUGCCUAGCCUAGUCUGAGCGCAAACACGACCCCACAGAGGGUCACGUCCGCCUCGGCCUUUCGCCAGCGGGUCGAGGGUCGGGCGUCACAAGGUUGGCGUGCUGUGUCCUGACGCCGAUAGGGCACUCAAGAGGGAGUUUCGGCUCCCAUCGGCUCGACCUGGUGCAGCGCGGUUGGCCGUGUCUCGCCAGGUGACCCCAUAAGAGCCAACUAAGCUUGUAGGCAUCUCUGAUCGAAUUCUUCGGACGCGGGUUCGAUUCCCGCCAUCUCCACCU